rnacentral:rRNA from 1 species
GAUGAACGCUGGCGGCGUGCUUAACACAUGCAAGUCGAACGGUGAAAGAGAGCUUGCUCUCUGGAUCAGUGGCGAACGGGUGAGUAACACGUGAGCAAUCUGCCCCUGACUCUGGGAUAAGCGCUGGAAACGGCGUCUAAUACCGGAUACGAGCUGCGAAGGCAUCUUCAGCAGCUGGAAAGAACUUCGGUCAGGGAUGAGCUCGCGGCCUAUCAGCUAGUUGGUGAGGUAAUGGCUCACCAAGGCGUCGACGGGUAGCCGGCCUGAGAGGGUGGCCGGCCACACUGAGACUGAGCCACGGCCCAGACUCCUACGGGAGGCAGCAGUGGGGAAUAUUGCACAAUGGGCGCAAGCCUGAUGCAGCAACGCCGCGUGAGGGACGACGGCCUUCGGGUUGUAAACCUCUUUUAGCAGGGAAGAAGCGAAAGUGACGGUACCUGCAGAAAAAGCACCGGCUAACUACGUGCCAGCCGCCGCCGUAAGAC